rnacentral:tRNA from 1 species
GGGGCUGUAGCUCAGUUGGGAGAGCGCGUCGUUCGCAAUGACGAGGUCGUCGGUUCGAUUCCGUCCAGCUCCACCA